rnacentral:sRNA from 1 species
GCGGUGCCCGGGGCAUCUCCGCGGCGGAACUCAGGGAAGGAGCUAGCUGGGGCGGGGGUGAUGAUCCAGGCUGGGUUCCAGCAUAGGGCUCUUGGUGGGCACGCUGGGGUCGGGUGGAGUGCAGGAGAGAGAGGAGGUGGGACAGGUGGGUACCUGGGCUGGAGGCAGGGCCUGAGGUGGGCAGGUGCAGAGGGCUGCACUUCUCGGCUGAAGCCAGGAAUGAGGACCCCGCUCUCGGGUGGGAUUGGAGGGGACCCGCGGCUGAGGCGCAGGGCUGCGACAGGGACAUCACCGUUCUCCUCCUCAGGGAGAUGGUGCUCGUCGUGCACGGCUUCCCGUCCUCCGUGGCCGCCCUUCGGUUUGAGUGGGCUUGGCAGCACCCGCACGCCUCGCGCCGCCUGGCGCACGUGGGGCCUCGCCUGCGAGGAGAGACAGCCUUCGCUUUCCACCUGCGCGUGCUGGCGCACAUGCUGCGCGCACCGCCCUGGGCUCGCCUCCCGCUCACGCUGCGCUGGGUGCGCCCAGACCUCCGCCAGGACCUCUGCCUCCCGCCGCCGCCGCACGUGCCUCUGGCCUUCGGGCCUCCACCGCCCCAGGCCCCGGCCCCAAGGCGCCGCGCAGGUCCCUUUGAUGACGCGGAGACUGAGCCAGACCAGGGGGAUCCAGGGGCCUGCUGCUCCCUGUGCGCCCAGACCAUCCAGGAUGAAGAGGGGCCCUUGUGUUGCCCCCACCCUGGCUGCCUGCUAAGGGCCCAUGUGAUCUGCCUGGCAGAGGAGUUUCUUCAGGAAGAACCAGGGCAGCUUCUGCCCCUAGAGGGCCAAUGCCCUUGCUGUGAGAAGUCACUGCUUUGGGGAGACCUGAUCUGGCUGUGCCAGAUGGACACUGAGAAAGAAGUAGAAGACUCAGAAUUAGAAGAGGAACAUGGAGCUGAUCCAGGACACCUCCCGCCCGCCACUGGAGUACGUGAAGGGGGUCCCGCUCAUCAAGUACUUUGCAGAGGCGCUGGGGCCCCUGCAAAGCUUCCAGGCCCGGCCUGAUGACCUGCUCAUCAGCACCUACCCCAAGUCUGGCACCACCUGGGUGAGCCAGAUACUGGACAUGAUCUACCAGGGCGGCGAUCUAGAGAAGUGUAACCGGGCUCCCAUCUACAUGCGGGUGCCCUUCCUUGAGGUCAAUGAUCCAGGGGAACCCUCAGGGAUGGAGACUCUGAAAGACACACCGCCCCCACGGCUCAUCAAGUCACACCUGCCCCUGGCUCUGCUCCCUCAGACUCUGUUGGAUCAGAAGGUCAAGGUGGUCUAUGUUGCCCGAAACCCAAAGGACGUGGCGGUCUCCUACUACCAUUUCCACCGUAUGGAAAAGGCGCACCCUGAGCCUGGGACCUGGGACAGCUUCCUGGAAAAGUUCAUGGCUGGAGAAGUGUCCUACGGGUCCUGGUACCAGCACGUGCAGGAGUGGUGGGAGCUGAGCCGCACCCACCCUGUUCUCUACCUCUUCUAUGAAGACAUGAAGGAGAACCCCAAAAGGGAGAUUCAAAAGAUCCUGGAGUUUGUGGGGCGCUCCCUGCCAGAGGAGACCGUGGACUUCAUGGUUCAGCACACGUCGUUCAAGGAGAUGAAGAAGAACCCUAUGACCAACUACACCACCGUCCCCCAGGAGCUCAUGGACCACAGCAUCUCCCCCUUCAUGAGGAAAGGCAUGGCUGGGGACUGGAAGACCACCUUCACCGUGGCGCAGAAUGAGCGCUUCGAUGCGGACUAUGCGGAGAAGAUGGCAGGCUGCAGCCUCAGCUUCCGCUCUGAGCUGUGAGAGGGGCUCCUGGAGUCACUGCAGAGGGAGUGUGCGAAUCUACCCUGACCAAUGGGCUCAAGAAUAAAGUAUGAUUUUUGAGUCAGGCACAGUGGCUCAUGUCUGCAAUCCCAGCGAUUUGGGAGGUUGAGCUGGUAGGAUCACAAUAGGCCACGAAUUUGAGACCAGCCUGGUAAAAUAGUGAGACCUCAUCUCUACAAAGAUGUAAAAAAAUUAGCCACAUGUGCUGGCACUUACCUGUAGUCCCAGCUACUUGGGAAGCAGAGGCUGGAGGAUCAUUUCAGCCCAGGAGGUUGUGGAUACAGUGAGUUAUGACAUGCCCAUUCACUACAGCCUGGAUGACAAGCAAGACCCUCCCUCCAAAGAAAAUAAAGCUCAAUUAAAAU